rnacentral:rRNA from 1 species
AACGAACGCUGGCGGCAUGCCUAACACAUGCAAGUCGAACGAGAUCUUCGGGUCUAGUGGCGCACGGGUGCGUAACGCGUGGGAAUCUGCCCUUUGGUUCGGAAUAACAGUUGGAAACGACUGCUAAUACCGGAUGAUGACGAAAGUCCAAAGAUUUAUCGCCAGAGGAUGAGCCCGCGUAGGAUUAGCUAGUUGGUGUGGUAAAGGCGCCCAUAGGCGACGAUCCUUAGCUGGUCUGAGAGGAUGAUCAGCCACACUGGGACUGAGACACGGCCCAGACUCCUACGGGAGGCAGCAGUGGGGAAUAUUGGACAAUGGGCGAAAGCCUGAUCCAGCAAUGCCGCGUGAGUGAUGAAGGCCUUAGGGUUGUAAAGCUCUUUUACCCGGGAUGAUAAUGACAGUACCGGGAGAAUAAGCUCCGGCUAACUCCGUGCCAGCAGCCGCCGUAA